AGAGUUUGAUCCUGGCUCAGAUUGAACGCUGGCGGAAUGCUUUACACAUGCAAGUCGAACGGCAGCACGGACUUCGGUCUGGUGGCGAGUGGCGAACGGGUGAGUAAUAUAUCGGAACGUAUCCAAUAAUGGGGGAUAACUAAUCGAAAGGUUGGCUAAUACCGCAUACGCCCUACGGGGGAAAGCUAGGGAUCUUCGGACCUGGCGUUAAUGGAGCGGCCGAUAUCUGAUUAGCUAGUUGGUGGGGUAAAGGCCCACCAAGGCGACGAUCAGUAGCUGGUCUGAGAGGACGACCAGCCACACUGGAACUGAGACACGGCCCAGACUCCUACGGGAGGCAGCAGUGGGGAAUUUUGGACAAUGGGCGCAAGCCUGAUCCAGCCAUUCCGCGUGAGUGAAGAAGGCCUUCGGGUUGUAAAGCUCUUUCGCAAGGGAAGAAAACUUAUCCUCUAACAUAGGAUGAGGUUGACGGUACCUUGAUAAGAAGCACCGGCUAACUACGUGCCAGCAGCCGCGGUAAUACGUAGGGUGCGAGCGUUAAUCGGAAUUACUGGGCGUAAAGCGUGCGCAGGCUGUUUUGUAAGUCAGAUGUGAAAUCCCUGANCUCAACUUAGGAACUGCGUNUGAAACUACNAGGACUCGAAUAUGUCAGAGGGGGGGUAGAAUUCCACGUGUAGCAGUGAAAUGCG
rnacentral:rRNA from 1 species